rnacentral:lncRNA from 1 species
CUAGUUCAGUACAGGGACCUAGACUCAAAGCCUGUAGCUGGAGGAUACACAGGACCACACUGGCCUUGCCUAGCUUCCCUCUUGUCCACAGCUUGUCUCCGGCUUCCUCAGCAGUUCAUGCAGGACUGGCUGUGGUGGCUCCUGAAUCCUGCCCAGGACUGCUCUCCUCUCUUUAGAGCAUCCCUCCAUUCUUGCUCCCACCCUAGCUGAGGAGGAGAACUGAACGAUGGCCUGGGAGGCCACAUACCUGCUCUCCUCAAUGCUGCUGCUGCUCCUGGCCUCAGGCUCCUGGGCACAGGACCCAGAGGUACUUCAAACACUGGAGGGCAAGACUGUUUCUGUGACAUGCAAGUAUAAUCCUGGAUACCACUUCUAUGAGAAGACCUGGUGUAAGAAAACAUCA